rnacentral:rRNA from 1 species
AAAAGAGGUAAAGAUUAAAGAUGGCCUCUAUACUAUGCUAUCGCUUCAGGAUGAGCCUGCGUCCUAUUAGUUAGUUGGUGGGGUAAUGGCCUACCAAGGCGACAAUGGGUAGCCGGUCUGAGAGGAUGUACGGCCACACUGGGACUGAGAUACGGCCCAGACUCCUACGGGAGGCAGCAGUGGGGAAUAUUGCGCUAUGGGGGAAACCCUGACGCAGCGACGCCGCGUGGGUGGGGAAGGCCCUUGGGUUGUAAAAUCCUGUUCUGGGGGAAGAAAGCUUAAAGGUCCAAUAAACCCUUAAGCCUGACGGUACCCCAAGAGAAAGCUCCGGCUAAUUAUGUGCCAGCAGCCGCGGUAAUACAUAAGGAGCAAGCGUUAUCCGGAAUUAUUGGGCGUAAAGAGCUCGUAGGCGGUCUUAAAAGUCAGUUGUGAAAUUAUCAGGCUCAACCUGAUAAGGUCAUCUGAAACUCUGAGACUUGAGGUUAGAAGAGGAAAAGUGGAAAUUCCCGGUGCAGCGGUGGAAAUGCGUAGAUAUCGGGGAGGGAACACCAGUGGCGAAGGCGGCUUUCUGGUCUAUCUCUGACGCUGAGGAGCGAAAGCUAGGGGAGCAAACGGGAUUAGAUACCCCGGUAGUCCUAGCUGUAAACGAUGGAUACUAGGUGUGGGAGGUAUCGACCCCUUCUGUGCCGCAGGUUAACGCAUUAAGUAUCCCGCCUGGGGAGUACGGUCGCAAGGCUGAAGCUCAAAGGAAUUGACGGGGGCCCGCACAAGCGGGUGGAGCAUGUGGUUUAAUUCGACGCAACGCGAAGAACCUUACCGGGACUUGACAUUAUCUUGCCCGUCUAAGAAAUUAGAUCUUCUUCCUUUCGGGGAAGACAGGAUAACAGGUGGUGCAUGGUUGUCGUCAGCUCGUGUCGUGAGAUAUUGGGUUAAGUCCCACAACGAGCGCAACAAUUGUGCCUAGUUGCUAACUUGUUUUACAAGCGCACUCUAGGCAGACUGCCGCAGAUAAUGCG